rnacentral:rRNA from 1 species
UACGUAGGGUGCAAGCGUUGUCCGGAAUUACUGGGCGUAAAGAGCUCGUAGGUGGUUUGUCGCGUUGUUCGUGAAAACUCACAGCUUAACUGUGGGCGUGCGGGCGAUACGGGCAGACUGGAGUACUGCAGGGGAGACUGGAAUUCCUGGUGUAGCGGUGGAAGUGCGCAGAUAUCAGGAGGAACACCGGUGGCGAAGGCGGGUCUCUGGGCAGUAACUGACGCUGGAGGCGCG